UUUAUUUUGCUUUUUAUCAUAUUGUGCAUCAUCCAUCCCAUUCUAAAAUGAAUCUAAAAAUGGUUAAGACUUUAAAAAAUGAAAAAGGAUAAUAAUUUCCCAAGCAUGGAGAGAACUUUGGACAAUGGACUUAGAGACUCAUUAGGACCCUUUGCAAAAGAAACAUUGGACAAAUGUGACCUAACAUGGAAGAAGAGUGCAAGAAUCAAGAAGAAUUUGUAAUAUCAAUUAUAAUCUUUUACUUGCUUUCC
rnacentral:lncRNA from 1 species